GGAUGCGAUCAUACCAGCACUAAAGCACCGGAUCCCAUCAGAACUCCGAAGUUAAGCUUGCUUGGGCGAGAGUAGUACUAGGAUGGGUGACUUCCUGGGAAGUCCUCGUGUUGCAUUCC
rnacentral:rRNA from 1 species